UACAGAGGGUGCAAGCGUUAAUCGGAAUUACUGGGCGUAAAGCGCACGUAGGUGGGUUUGUAAGUUGUUGGUGAAAAGCCUGGGCUUAACCUGGGUCGGUCCUGCAAAACUGUAAACCUAGAGUGUAUUAGAGGGAAGUGGAAUUUCCGGUGUAGCAGUGAAAUGCGUAGAUAUCGGAAGGAACAUCAGUGGCGAAGGCGACUUCCUGGAAUAUAACUGACACUGAGGUGCGACAGCGUGGGGAGCAAACAGGAUUAGAUACCCUGGUAGUCCACGCCGUAAACGAUGAAAACUAGCUGUUCGGUUGCGAUGUCAAUCGAGUAGCGAAGCUAACGCGUUAAGUUUUCCGCCUGGGGAGUACGGUCGCAAGACUA
rnacentral:rRNA from 1 species